rnacentral:tRNA from 1 species
GGGCCCAUAGCUCAAUUGGCAGAGCUCCCGGCUCAUAACCGGUUGGUUCUAGGUUCGAGUCCUAGUGGGCCCACCA